rnacentral:rRNA from 1 species
AUUGAACGCUGGCGGCAUGCCUUACACAUGCAAGUCGAACGGCAGCGCGGGAGCAAUCCUGGCGGCGAGUGGCGAACGGGUGAGUAAUAUAUCGGAACGUGCCCUAGAGUGGGGGAUAACUAGUCGAAAGAUUAGCUAAUACCGCAUACGAUCUACGGAUGAAAGUGGGGGAUCGCACGACCUCAUGCUCGUGGAGAGGCCGAUAUCUGAUUAGCUAGUUGGUAGGGUAAAAGCCUACCAAGGCCACGAUCAGUAGCUGGUCUGAGAGGACGACCAGCCACACUAGGACUGAGACACGGCCCAGACUCCUACGGGAGGCAGGAGUGGGGAAUUUUGGACAAUGGGGGAAACCCUGAUCCAGCAAUGCCGCGUGUGUGAAGAAGGCCUUCGGGUUGUAAAGCACUUUUGUCCGGAACGAAACGGGCCGAGCUAAUAUCUUGGCCUAAUGACGGUACCGGAAGAAUAAGCACCGGCUAACUACGUGCCAGCAGCCGCCGUAA